GACGAACGCUGGCGGCGUGCCUAAUACAUGCCAGUAGAACGCUGAAGAGAGGAGCUUACUCUUCUUGGAUGAGUUGCGAACGGGUGAGUAACGCGUAGGUAACCUGCCUUGUAGCGGGGGAUAACUAUUGGAAACGAUAGCUAAUACCGCAUAACAAUGGAUGACACAUGUCAUUUAUUUGAAAGGGGCAAUUGCUCCACUACAAGAUGGACCUGCGUUGUAUUAGCUAGUAGGUGAGGUAAUGGCUCACCUAGGCGACGAUACAUAGCCGACCUGAGAGGGUGAUCGGCCACACUGGGACUGAGACACGGCCCAGACUCCUACGGGAGGCAGCAGUAGGGAAUCUUCGGCAAUGGGGGCAACCCUGACCGAGCAACGCCGCGGGAGUGAAGAAGGGUUUCGGAUCGUAAAGCUCUGUUGUAAGUCAAGAACGGGUGUGAGAGUGGAAAGUUCACACUGUGACGGUAGCUUACCAGAAAGGGACGGCUAACUACGUG
rnacentral:rRNA from 1 species